CGCGUAGGUGGCUGCGUAAGUAAGGUGUGAAAGCCCUCGGCUUACCCGGGGAAUUGCGCCUUAUACUGCGUGGCUUGAGGAUUUCAGGGGAAGGGGGAACUCCAGGUGUAGCGGUGAAAUGCGCAGAUAUCUGGGGGAAGGCCGGCGGCGAAGGCGCCCUUCUGGGAAAUUCCUGACACUGAGGCGCGAAAGCGUGGGGAGCAAACAGGAUUAGAUACCCUGGUAGUCCACGCCCUAAACGAUGGAUACUAAGUAGGGGACCCUGCAAGGGGUUCCUUGCCGGAGCGAAAGCGUUAAGUAUCCCGCCUGGGGAGUAUGGUCGCAAGGCUGAA
rnacentral:rRNA from 1 species